rnacentral:tRNA from 1 species
AGUCUAGUGGCAAGGAUGCCUGGUUUUCACCCAGGCUGCCCAGGUUCAAUUCCUGA